GGAUGUGAGGGUGAUCUGGCUGCGACAUCUGUCACCCCAUUGAUCGCCAGGGUUGAUUCGGCUGAUCUGGCUGGCUAGGCAGGUGUUCCCUUCCUCCCUCACCGCUCCAUGUACAUCCCUCCCGAAGCUGCGCACUCGGUCGAAGAGGACGGCCUUCCCUGAAUCGAGAUGGACCGGCCUUCAGUUGAGGGUGUACCAGUAGCUGCACUCCCCUGCUAGAACCUCCAAACAAGCUCUCAAAGACCCAGAAUGAAGGAAUCUGAGAACUAACAAAGAUCUUCUAGUUGAAGGUGUAUCUU
rnacentral:snRNA from 1 species